GAUGUCAAGACGGAUGCCACACGCACCCAAGGACA
rnacentral:tRNA from 1 species